rnacentral:sRNA from 1 species
UAGCUCAAGCUUCUUGUGCACCACGUCCC